rnacentral:rRNA from 1 species
GACGAACGCUGGCGGCGUGCUUAACACAUGCAAGUCGAACGGAAAGGCCCUGCUUUUGUGGGGUGCUCGAGUGGCGAACGGGUGAGUAACACGUGAGUAACCUGCCCUUGACUUUGGGAUAACUUCAGGAAACUGGGGCUAAUACCGGAUAGGAGCUCCUGCUGCAUGGUGGGGGUUGGAAAUUUUCGGCGGUUGGGGAUGGACUCGCGGCUUAUCAGCUUGUUGGUGGGGUAGUGGCUUACCAAGGCUUUGACGGGUAGCCGGCCUGAGAGGGUGACCGGCCACAUUGGGACUGAGGUACGGCCCAGACUCCUACGGGAGGCAGCAGUGGGGAAUAUUGCACAAUGGGCGGAAGCCUGAUGCAGCAACGCCGCGUGCGGGAUGACGGCCUUCGGGUUGUAAACCGCUUUCGCCUGUGACGAAGCGUGAGUGACGGUAAUGGGUAAAGAAGCACCGGCUAACUACGUG